UAAGUGGGAUCCAAAAUUGAAGAUGUGUAAUCUAUUGCUUCAGAGCUUCUGAUAUUUCUAGUUGCUAUUUUGAGAUUAGUGAACACUACAAAGGUGUUGUUGAUUUCUUCUUGGCCUCACAGUAAAUUGCUGAGCUGCAAGGUAGGGUUUGGGCAGAAGAUAUUUUGUUAAUCAGGAUUUUUGUUUAACUGUAUAAUCGUUUAGCAUUUUUGUUUGAAGUGUUUUUUUGUUAAAAAAUAUUGAACACAGCGUCUGGGUUCAUGUUUCUAUGGUUGUAAGAUAUUUUGGGAUGGAAGAAGCGGGGGUUUGAUCGGUGGAACAUGUACUUUUUUUUUCCCUGUUUUCAAGUAGUUGUAUUGUGAAUAUUAUUUAUGUAUGCGGG
rnacentral:misc_RNA from 1 species